rnacentral:rRNA from 1 species
AGUCGGCCUGCGCGGAAGAUGUAACGGGGCUAAACCAUGCACCGAAGCUGCGGCAGCGACACUAUGUGUUGUUGGGUAGGGGAGCGUUCUGUAAGCCUGUGAAGGUGUACUGUGAGGUAUGCUGGAGGUAUCAGAAGUGCGAAUGCUGACAUAAGUAACGAUAAAGCGGGUGAAAAGCCCGCUCGCCGGAAGACCAAGGGUUCCUGUCCAACGUUAAUCGGGGCAGGGUGAGUCGACCCCUAAGGCGAGGCCGAAAGGCGUAGUCGAUGGGAAACAGGUUAAUAUUCCUGUACUUGGUGUUACUGCGAAGGGGGGACGGAGAAGGCUAUGUUGGCCGGGCGACGGUUGUCCCGGUUUAAGCGUGUAGGCUGAUUUUCCAGGCAAAUCCGGAAAAUCAAGGCUGAGGCGUGAUGACGAGGCACUACGGUGCUGAAGCAACAAAUGCCCUGCUUCCAGGAAAAGCCUCUAAGCAUCAGGUAACAUCAAAUCGUACCCCAAACCGACACAGGUGGUCAGGUAGAGAAUACCAAGGCGCUUGAGAGAACUCGGGUGAAGGAACUAGGCAAAAUGGUGCCGUAACUUCGGGAGAAGGCACGCUGAUAUGUAGGUGAAGCGACUUGCUCGUGGAGCUGAAAUCAGUCGAAGAUACCAGCUGGCUGCAACUGUUUAUUAAAAACACAGCACUGUGCAAACACGAAAGUGGACGUAUACGGUGUGACGCCUGCCCGGUGCCGGAAGGUUAAUUGAUGGGGUUAGCGGUAACGCGAAGCUCUUGAUCGAAGCCCCGGUAAACGGCGGCCGUAACUAUAACGGUCCUAAGGUAGCGAAAUUCCUUGUCGGGUAAGUUCCGACCUGCACGAAUGGCGUAAUGAUGGCCAGGCUGUCUCCACCCGAGACUCAGUGAAAUUGAACUCGCUGUGAAGAUGCAGUGUACCCGCGGCAAGACGGAAAGACCCCGUGAACCUUUACUAUAGCUUGACACUGAACAUUGAGCCUUGAUGUGUAGGAUAGGUGGGAGGCUUUGAAGUGUGGACGCCAGUCUGCAUGGAGCCGACCUUGAAAUACCACCCUUUAAUGUUUGAUGUUCUAACGUUGGCC